UAUUGGUGUUGUGGAAAUACUGACUGUUCUGGUAGUUGGGGCAUUACCAACGGUUUUGUAGAAUUACUGGCUGUUCCUGGUGGGUGGGGGGCUGUUACUGAGGGUUUUAUGGAUUGUCUGUCUGUUCUUCCUAAGUGGGGCCUGUUAACUUUUGUGUAAUUACUGGCUGUUCCUGAAGGUGGAGGCUCUUCCCAACGGUAUUGUGAAAAAGGUUGAUGUUCUUGUUGGGUUGGGC